rnacentral:rRNA from 1 species
GCAAGUCGAACGAGGUCCUUCGGGGCCUAGUGGCGCACGGGUGCGUAACGCGUGGGAAUCUGCCUUUCGGUACGGAAUAACUCAGGGAAACUUGUGCUAAUACCGUAUGACGUCGCGAGACCAAAGAUUUAUCGCCGAAAGAUGAGCCCGCGUAGGAUUAGCUAGUUGGUGGGGUAAAGGCCUACCAAGGCGACGAUCCUUAGCUGGUCUGAGAGGAUGAUCAGCCACACUGGGACUGAGACACGGCCCAGACUCCUACGGGAGGCAGCAGUGGGGAAUAUUGGACAAUGGGCGAAAGCCUGAUCCAGCAAUGCCGCGUGAGUGAUGAAGGCCUUAGGGUUGUAAAGCUCUUUUACCCGGGAUGAUAAUGACAGUACCGGGAGAAUAAGCCCCGGCUAACUCCGUGCCAGCAGCCGCGGUAAUACGGAGGGGGCUAGCGUUGUUCGGAAUUACUGGGCGUAAAGCGUACGUAGGCGGUGACUCAAGUCAGAGGUGAAAGCCCGGGGCUCAACUCCGGAAUUGCCUUUGAAACUAGGUCGCUUGAACGUCGGAGAGGUGAGUGGAAUUCCGAGUGUAGAGGUGAAAUUCGUAGAUAUUCGGAAGAACACCAGUGGCGAAGGCGGCUCACUGGACGACUGUUGACGCUGAGGUAC